UACGGUCACAUCAUGUUGAAACACCGAUCAUCGUAGUUAAGCAACGUUGAGUCUGGUCAGUACCUAGAUGGGUGACCACUUGGAAAUACCAGGUGUUGUAAU